rnacentral:misc_RNA from 1 species
AACGCAUCUUGCGCUCCUUGGUAUUCCGAGGAGCAUGCCUGUUUGAGUGUCAUUUAAUUCCUCAACCACACUAGCUUUUUGAGCUUGCCUUGUGGCUUGGAUGUGGGGCUUUCUUGCGGGCCUUUGUCAAAAGGUCAGCUGCCCUAAAAUGCAUUAGCCGAACCGUUUGCGGUCAGUCACCGGUGUGAUAAUUAUCUACGCCAAAGACAUAAACUGCUCUCUGUUAGUUCAGCUUCUAAUCGUCCGUUUGGACAAUUGUUGAACAUUUGACCUCAAAUCAGGUAGGACUACCCGCUGAACUUAA